GCAGGCAACUCAGUGAGUAAGUCAACUUAAACCUCCAGAUUACAACUACUUUCAAAGACAGAUGGACAAUUUUGUCUUCUGCUUCAACACACAGCUAUUACCCAAGAAGAUUCUGAAUCCUUGGAAAGUGGAGGAACAGAAUCAGGCUAUACAGGCUUCAACUCUUCCAGAUGUGAAUAGGUAUAU